AUGGGAUUCCGGCGUAAUCUCUUUGCUGAGUUAUCUGAUCAGUGGGCUAAUGUGGUGGAUGGGGCUAAAAAGCUACCUUUGAAUGAUUCACCUGAUCAAGUUGUUUGGAAGUUUAAUAGCAAAGGAGAUUUUACAACAAAAUCUGUUUACGAGUGGUUAGAAAAAGAUUUAUCAGGACCUGAUUACAAGUGGAUCUGGAAAGCUAAGAUUCCUCUGAAGAUCAAAAUCUUCCUUUGGAAACUUUUUCAAAAUGCCAUCCCUACCAGGGACAACCUGCGUAAAAGAAAAUGGCCAGGGAAUCCAAUUUGUUCGUUCUGCCAUGAUAUUGAAACUGCUGAUCACCUUUUCUUUGGGUGUGUGUUUGCCCGUUCUAUUUGGGGGGUGAUUGGGGCUGCUUUGGGAACAUCCUGUACUCCUAAAACUAUUUGGCAGAGCUGGGCAUGGCUCUAUAAAUAUCUUCCUGGGGGCAAAAAGCAUUACAUGACUAUGGUUGCUGCUAUAUGUCGGGGUAUUUGGUGCACCCGUAACAAGGCAACCUUCGAUAACUGUAUCAUUCGCUCUUCGUUGGAGGCUGUUUUCACUGUGUGUUCCUUUUUGAUGUAUUGGUCAGGUCUUCUGAAAGGGAUUGACAAGGAAAGAGUCCAGGCUGGAGUACAGAAGAUGGUGCGCGUGGCUGCGUCUUUGGCGGACCGUUCUACUCCCAGGGGAAGGCCCAUGCUGGGGAAUGGCGUGGGGGCUUGA
rnacentral:rRNA from 1 species